GCCAGGUGUGGUGGCGCAUGCCUGUAAUCCCAGCUACUUGGGAGGCUGAGGCAGGAGAACUGCUUGAGCCCAGGAGGUGGAGAUUGCAGUGAGCCAAGAUCACAUCACUGCACUCCAGCCUGGGCAACAGAGCGAGACCUUGUCUUAA
ensembl:misc_RNA Metazoa_SRP Metazoan signal recognition particle RNA